AUUGAACGCUGGCGGCAGGCCUAACACAUGCAAGUCGAGCGAGCGGCGGACGGGUGAGUAAUGUAUGGGGACUGCCCGAUAGAGGGGGAUAACUACUGGAAACGGUAGCUAAUACCGCAUACUAUCGGAUAACCCAUAGGGGAUUAGCUAGUAGGUGAGGUAAUGGCUCACCUAGGCGACGAUCCCUAGCUGAUCCGAGAGGAUGAUCAGCGCCACUGGGACUGAGACACGGCCCUGACUCCUACGGAGGCAGCAGUGGUGAAGAUUGAACAAUGGGCGCAAUCCGGAUGCAGCAAUGCCGCGUGUAUGAAGAAGGCCCGAGGGUUGUAAAGUACUUUCAGUCGGGAGGCGUUACCGACAGAAGAAGCACCGGCUAAAUCCGUUCCAGCAGCCGCGGUAAUUC
rnacentral:rRNA from 1 species